rnacentral:lncRNA from 1 species
AUAUAUAUAGAAUUGAGCUAGAAUACUUUUAGAAGCACCAACCCCUUGAUGGUUGAAUAGGUUGUUGUGGUUGGUUGAAAGAUAUUUGGGAUUGGUUGGAAAUUUAAAAUUCGAAAUCGAACUUUGAAUGGAUUGUUGGAUGGCUAGAGGAUAUUUUGAGGAUUGAUUCGAAAUCGAAUUUUGAAUAGGUUGUGAAAGAUACUUUGGGAGUUUGUUGGAAAUUUGAAAUUCGAAAUCGAAUUUUGAAUUGGUUGUUGGAUGGUUGAAAGAUAUUUUGGGAAUUGAUUCGAAAUUCGAAAUCGAAUUUUGAAUGGGCUGUGAAAAAUAUUUUGAGAGUUGGAUGGAAAUUCGAAAUUCGAAAUCGAAUUUUGAAUGAGUUGUUGGAUGGUUGGAAAAUAUUUUGGGAAUUGGUUAGGGAUUCGAAAUUCGAAAUCAAAUUUUGAACAGGUUGGGGGGUGGUUGGAAGAUAUUUUGGGAGUUGGUUGGGAAUUCGAAAUUCAAAUUCGAAUUUUGAAUGGGUUGUUGGAUGGUUGGAGGGUAUUUUGAAAAUUGGUUGGGAAUUCGAAAUUCGAAAUCAAAUUUUGAAUGGGUUGUUGGAGGAUAUUUUGGAAAUUGGUUGGGAAUUCGAAAUUCAAAAUCGAAUUUUGAAUGGGUUGUUGGAGGAUAUUUUGGGAAUUGAUUGAAAAUUCAAAAUUCAAAAUCGAAUUUUUAAUGGGUUGUGAUUUGAAAUCGAAUUUCGAACAGAUAUUUUAUGUGGAUGUGGGCCAUCGUUGAUCAGGCCCGCUUUAAUUUAUUGGGCCCAAAUGAUAAUAUUUAAUGGGCUGGAAUGAGGCCUCUUUUUUUUUUAUUUGCAUGGGCUUUCAUCAGGCCCACCAACUCAUAUUUAUGAAUGGGCCUAUUGUAUAUUUGAACUAUAAUUAUUGGCCCAAAAAUUUAAUGAUUAACACGAGACCUAUUAGGAUUGUAUGAACUCAAAUCUAAUCGUUUUUUUUUUUAUUAUGAUUAGGAUUGUUUCAUCCUAUAUAAGUAUUAUUUUACUGCAAACAAAUUGCCCCCCACCUUUUCGACGUAAGAGUUCCGCGUGCGACGGAAAGGUGCCCCUCUUUUCUUUGUUCAAGAGAUUUUUUUUUUUGCUCGAUCCCCCACUUAGACCAUACUUUUUUUUUUCUUUUUUUUAUUUUUGCUCGGUCCCCCACUUAGACUAAUACCCCUUGGAUCAAAUACUAUUCCACCUAUCACCACCUUCCACCAUCAUCUCAACACUACAUCUCUCCAUCCAAUGGUUAAAAACUCAAAAGCACUUAGUGCUUUUGAGAGUAUUCUAGCUCAACUAUAUAUAUAUAUAUAUUAGGUCUUGUGUGCUCUCAGGAGCACAGAGUCCUCCGUGGUCCUGAGCCGUUUUUGAUAAUGGGACUCCCGAAUCAACGAUCAGCUCUGCUAGACUUGAUCUAGCAUAUUUGAACUAUGUAGAAAAUAAAUUUUGCAAUUUUUCGAUAUCGUUUACUUAGUGAUCGAAAAGAUUCAAAAUUAAUAAUUUUUAAUGGUCGAUAUCUGCCGUUUCAAGUUUAACAGCGUAGAAGUAUCCAAAUCAGAUGAAAUUUUGAUAAAAAAUCCGUUAUACUAUCUAUAUAUAAUUUAAUAUUUUAUAUUGGUAAUUAAUUAAUUAAUAUAUCGGUCUUUCGUGUCAGGGUCGGGCCAGGCUUGGACAUGCCCAAAUCGACCCAAAAUUUUUUCGGGCCUAAAUUUUUAAGCCCGGCCCAAACCCAAAGCUAUAUUUUUAAUACGCAAAGCCCAGUCCAAACAUGGCUCAUCAGGCCGGGCCUUGUUUAGACCCGAGCCGAGUUCCACCCCUGUAUAGAAUUCCACAAUUUGUUAAAUUUUAGUGUGCUACAUAAUAUUUCAAGAAAUGAUGAAAGGAACGAUGGAUAACAUGGAGAUCUUUAAUAAAAGUGGUAGACCAGGUCAGACCAAAAUUUCUUUAAAUUGUUUGGUUAAUGUCCAGCUUAAUUCAAAUAUAGUUAGGGCAUAUUUUGAACUAUUUGGGACUUGAUAUGGGAAUUAGUGUAAGUUAUUUUUCCUGGAGAUUCCAACCUCAGUGAAAACUCCCUAAGGAGAGGGGGGGGGGUUACCUUUAGCUUUAUGCUUAAGGAGUUAGGUUUGCGAUNAUUUCCAUUGGGGGGGGGGAGAGGAAUCCCUCAAAAGUGACUCCAACCUUAGAGGUCAGAGUAAAUUUUGAAUUCAAAGUAAUUGAGAAAAGAUUUUUUUCAACUAAUAAUUAUUUUAAUUCACAUAUAAAUUAUAUAUUUUCAGUCAAUUAAAUCAUAAUUUUAAAUUUUAAUUUAUUAUAUAAAUUUAAUUUUUUAAAUUUAAUUUUUUUUUAAUUUACUUGAUAGCUCUAAAUUUACUUGAUAGCUCUAUGUUCAAAGUUAGAUACAAAUUUUGAUUAAAAUUUUGAAUGACAAAUUUAAAUUUUAAUAAAAAAGUAAAUUUUUUAAAUUUUAAUUUGAACAUGAUUUCGAUUCUGAUUCCUGUUAUGAACUAAAUAAAUUUUAUUUUUAUCAUUUCAUCUUCGAUUCUCGUCCAUUUCCAUUUCUAUUCCAAUUUCGAUUCCUCUUCUGAACGUGGCCUUAAUGUAUCCAAAAUAUAUCUGAGUAGUUCUAUUACAUUGUUUAUGUUUAAGAAAAAUAAAAAAUAUACAUAAAAAAAUACUUAUUGUAUACCAAAAAAGAAGGGUGUAAAACCUUACACCCUUCAACGUAGGGUUGGUAAAAAAAAACCCAAAUAGUUUUUAGUAAAAAAAAAAAAAAAAUUGAUGUGACAAAGAGAAUAUUAGGUUUCGUUUGGAAUUAUGGGGAGAUUGCGUUACGUGCGGAGAGAAAGUAUAAUGAAAAAAUAUCAUAUUUGUUUCCAUAUGUAAAACUGCGUUCCGCAUAUAUAUAUAAUUGAGCUAAGAAUACUUUUAGAAGUUCACCUCCCAUGGUGCUCUUCUACAGUUUUAGCCUUAGACUAACUCUGAAUACUAAUAGCCCUUGAUCAAACACCAUUCCACCUACCACAACCUACUACCAUUCAUCCACCUUACAUUCUCUAUUUUCAGGUUAUAAAACACAAAAGGCACCAACCUCUUGUGCUUUUGAAGAGAUUCUAAGCUCAACCAUAUAUUACUAUAUAUAUAUAUAUAUAUAUAUAUAUAUAUAUAGAAGAAGAGAGAAGAGAAGAGAAGAGAGGAGAAGAGAGAGAUAGACAGAGAGAGAGAGAGAACACUCAGGCUGUGAAUACUAUUAAUAGCACCAAGAAGAAUGGGUGCUAUUAGUUUUUUAGCCUUUGAAUUGAGAAAUAGUGCGGUUAGGAUGAAAUGAGGCCCGUAGGUGAGUGGGUGUGGUUGAAUAGUAUAAUCUAAUGGGUCAAUAAAUAAUCAAGAUUAAAAUAUAUCGUGAAUUAACUCAAUAGCACCCAAGUCCUCGUCUAUCAAAUGAGUCAUCCCAGCCGGACUAUAUAUAUAUAUAUAUAUAUAUAUAUAUAUAUAUAUAUAUAUAUAUUAUAUUAUAUAUAUAUAGAAUUAUGAGCUAGAAUACUUUUACAGAAGCACAACCCCUUGAAUGGUUGAAUAGGUGUUGUGGUUGUUGUUGAAAGAUAUUUGGAUUUCGUGAAAAUUUAAUAAAAUUCGAAAUCGAACUUUGAAUGGAUUGUGGAUGGCUAAAGGAUUUUUGAGAUUGAUUCGAAUUCGAAUUUUGAAUAGUUGUAAAGAUAACUCGUGGAGAGUUUGUUGCGAAAUUUGAAAUUACGAAAUCGAAUUUUGAAUUGGUUGUUGAUUGGUUGAAAGAAUUGAAUUUUGACGAAUCAAUUGUUGAAUUCGAACGAUCCACCCCUGUCAAGAAAAUAUUUUGAGAGUUUGGAUUGAAAUUCCGAAAUUACAAUGCGAAUAUUUGACAUGAGUUGUUGGAAUGUUGAAAAAUUUUGGAAUUGGUUAGGGUUCAGAGAAUUCAAAUCAAUUGAACAGUUGUGGGGUGGAUUGCGAAGAUAUUUGGAGUUGGUUGGGAUCUGUCGAAUUCAAAGUCGAAUUUGAAUUGGUUGUUGGAUGGUUGGAGGGGUAUUUUAAAAUUGGUUGGGAUGUCUGAAUUCGAGAAUCAAUAUUUUGAAUGGGUUGUUGGAGAUACUUUUGAAAUUGGUUGGGAAUUCGAAUUCAAAAUCGAAUUUUGAACAUGGGUUUGUUGGAGGAAUAUUUUGGGAAUUGAUUGAAAAUUCAAAUUCAAGAAUCGAAUUUUUUAAUUGGCUUGUAUUUAAAAAUCGAAUUUCGAGCAGAUAUUUUUAUGUGAUGUGGCCAUACGUGACAGGCCGCCGCUUUAAUUUAUUGGGCUCCAAAUGAUAAUAUUUAAUGGCUACGGUGUAAAAGAAUCGGAAUUUGUUGAAUUUUUGAUAGAAAAUUCUAUUCACUACAUAGAUAAAUAUCAAUGACUCCGAUCUUGAAUUGAAGGAUCCGAUCAUCCUUUUUUAGAACGUUGUUCGAUUUUGACCGUUCAUUUUAUGCCCACUUGAGAGACUUUAUUACGAUUUUGAAAAUUUACGAAUUUUAUUUCUUAGAAGUUUCAAAUACUCUAGAUCAUGUUUAACGGAGUGGAUCGUCGAUUCGGAAGCUCCAUCAUUGAAAACAACUUAUGAGUACGAGAGCUCCAAUACUCAUAAUAUUAUAGUAGCCAUGGCCUAUAUAUAUAUAUAUAUAUAUAUAUAUAUAUAUAUAUAUAUAUAUACAUAUGUAUAUAUGUAUAUAUANNNNNNNNNNNNNNNNNNNNNNNNNCCGACAAGGUCUUUUUAAACAUGGGGAAGUUUCUCGCGCUUUUUUUAAAUGUCAAAACUCCGCCUGAAUUAGACAAAUUCACGAAUUGAAAAUAUUUUGACAAAUUUUAGUCUGAUGUGACGAAUUAUCCCAUGGGAUCAUAUUCAACGACACUGCGUCAGGCUCGGCAAACCGAGAUAGAUUAAUCAACGUCGUAAGAAGGAUCAAUUUGAUUACAAAAGUUUUGAUGAAUAUAUGCAUUAAGAAAUGCGAGUGGAUUUCAAGGGAUUAUCGUUAAACAGAAUAAAGAGUGAGUAAAACGGUAAUUAAUAUGAAAUUUUAGGACUUAAUAUGAUUGGUGAAGGGUGCUAUGGAACAGACGUUGGAAGACGAGAGCUUGGGAGAAAAUUUGCUCUCCUGCAAAAAUUAAUGGAGGUUUUGCAAUAGCAUGGCUCCUCUCGCUCGGGAAGGACAAUUGGAGAAUCCCGAGGAGAGACACCUUUCCUGCAGAAGAUGAUUUGUAACAAUACAAAGAUUCAAAGCACCGAAAAAUUCAUUCAAGGACAGGUGGAUGCAGAUGAAUAAAAUUAGGGUGCAAUAAGCACCGUAUCAAUGCGGCUACACAGAAAGAUGCAGGUCAAGAACAGCAACUGAAAGGGCGAAGAAGGGUACAGGAAAUAUCAGAGUUUGCCGAUCCAAGACUUGGUCGGUUGUCGACAGUAUGUGGGUGCCAUGUUGCUUAGAUUUUCGAUCAAGGCCGUGUGGUGGUUUUCGUGGUCUGGUCGCUUGGAGGGCUUAGGUAGGAGCCCUUGCGAAGUGGAUGGGCGGUGUGUAGGGGAGAGGGAGUCCGAUUCUUUUGAGGGAUCCGUGUCGACUUGCACUUGGAUUGUUUUCUUUUCGAUUCCGAGAGGAGGAAUCGAGUUGUAGAUUGGAUGCCGUGGGUGGCGUGUCAGGUUUAGAAGAGUGUGAGGGUCGAGGGUUGCAUUCAUGUUGCCGGGGUGUGCGGGUUGUGCAGCAAUUCGGGCGUUGUGGGAGAGUUGUGUCCUGUGUGCAUGGCCUACAUCUUUGGAAUGACGAUACGGGGCCUUUGUCGAAUUUAAGAGUGUUGAGGACUUAGAAGUUGAAUUUGAUGCCUCUCUCAAUGUAUGUUCUUCUCAUAUCCGUGUCCAGAGCUUGUGUCGUUACCCAAUCCGAGCAUGAUGACCUAGUUCUUUGAUCCCGGACAAGAAAAUCUGUUUGAAUUGUCGGAUUGAAGUUGAUGAAGUUUGAUGUUGGUCAAAGUUGACGUUAUUGAUGUGUGCGAUUCCUCGAAUUGUUGCUCCAAAAAUCCCAACUUGUCCGUUUAUAUGAAUUUGAUCGUUGAUUGCCGCUGUUAUUAAGCUUCUCUUGGAGGGUCCGACAUUAUUUUUUCAAAUUGAGUCCUUCCUCCUCGGAGUUUUGUUCUCGGUCUUCAAGUUGUUGUAUAUCCUCCUGUGCCAAGAUAUUCAACAAACGGACGCCGUCAACUUCUUACUUAAGUUUUAGGUCGGCUUUGAUUCAAUUAAAGAAGUGAGUUGUAGUAACUUACUAUAAUAUAUAGAUAGCUAUUAGGCAUAUAUAUAUUAGCUAUAUAUAUAUAGUACUAUAUAGUAUGGAUCACAAAGAGUCAUACUGAUAUAUAUAUAAUCACAAGCGUAAUCUAUAGUAUAGUUAUAUUAUAUAGUAAUAGUAUAUGAUAUACUAUAAUAUAUAUAUAUACGGUAGUGACUAUUACUAUUAGUAAGAUGACUGAGCACUGAAGUACAAAGCCGAUUGUUGCUACGCGGCCGACGUUUGUUUAGCUUUUGGAAUGCAACUCUUUUCAUUAUUUCUAACCAUUUGGAUUAAAAUCUAUAGACUCAUGGGUGAGCACUCAACGCCUAGGGGGAGCCCCACGUCAAUCUAACGCUACUAAUAUCAUGCCCGACUUCUACAAUUUUCAUCCAAGGGUUAAAAAACUUGAUUUAGCAACCAAGAGCGUUUUACUAUUAUUAGUAUUCCAACCUAAUUCAUAUAUAUAUAUAUAUAUAUAUAAUAUAUAUAUAUUUAUUAUAUAUAUUAUAUAUAUAUAUAUAUAUAAUAUAUUGAGCUAGAAUACUUUUAGAAGUGUCACCCACCCAUGGUGCUGUCUAAGUUUUAGGCCCUUGGAUCUACUCCUUGAAUACUAAAUAGCCCUUGGAUCAAACACUAUUCCACCUACACCACCUACUACCAUCAUCCAACCUUACAUUUCUCUAUUUUCAGGUUAAAAACACAAAAGCACCAACCUCUUGUGCUUUUGAGAGUAUUCUAGCUCAACCAUAUAUAUAUAUAUAUAUAUAUUAUAUAUAUAAGUAGUAUAUAGAGAGAUGAGAGAAGAAGAGAAGAGAGGACAGGAGAGAGAUGAAGAGAGAAGAGAGAGAGAGAGAGAGAACUCGGCUGGAAUACUAUUAUUAGCACCAAGAGAAUGUGCUAUUAGUUUUUUAGCCAUUGGAUUGAGAAAUAUGCGGUUAGGAUGAUAUGGGCCUCGUAGGGUGAGUGGGUGAUUGGUUGAAUAGUAUAAUCUAAUGGUACACAUUAAUCAAGAUUUAAAUAUAUGCGUGAAAACUCAAAUAGCACCAAGUCCUCGGUGCUAAUCAGAUAGUAUCCCAGCCGCACUAUAUAUAUAUAUAUAUAUAUAUAUAUAUAUAAAUUAUAUAAGUAUAAUAUUAUAUAUAGAAUUGAGCUAGAAUACUUUUAGAAGCACCAAACCCCCUUGAUGGUUGAAUAGGUUGUUGUGGUGUUUGGAAAGAUAUUUGGAUGGUUGGAAAUUUAAAAUCCGAAUCGAACUUUGAAUGGAUUGUUGAUGCUGCUAAGAGGAUAUUUUGAGGAUUGAUUCGAAUUCGAAUUUUGAAUAGGUUUGAAAGAUACAUUUGGGAUGUUGUUUGGAAAUUCGAAAAUCGAAAUCGUAAUUUGAAUUGGUUGUUGAGUGUUGAAAGAUAUUUUGGGAAUUGAUUGCGAAUUCGAAAUCGAAUUUUGAAUGGGCUGUGAAAAUAUUUGAGAGUUGGAUGGAAAUUCGAAAUUCGAAUCGAAUUUUGAAUGAGUUGUUGGAUGGUUGGAAAAUAUUUUGGGAAUUGGUUAGGGAUUCGAAAAUUCGACGAAAUAAAAUUUGAACAGGUUGGGGGGUGGCUUGGAAGAUAUUUGGGAGUUGGUUGGGAAAUCUCGAAAUUCAAAAUUCGAAUUUUGAAUGGUUGUUGGAUGGUUGAGAGGUAUUUUGAAAAUUGGUUGGGAAUUCGAAAUUCGAAAUCAAAUUUUGAAUGGGUUGUUGGAGGAUAUUUUGGAAAUUGGUUGG